CAGCCGCCACGGUAAUACGUAGGUGGCAAGCGUUGUCCGGAAUUAUUGGGCGUAAAGGGCUCGCAGGCGGUUUCUUAAGUCUGAUGUGAAAGCCCCCGGCUCAACCGGGGAGGGUCAUUGGAAACUGGGAAACUUGAGUGCAGAAGAGGAGAGUGGAAUUCCACGUGUAGCGGUGAAAUGCGUAGAGAUGUGGAGGAACACCAGUGGCGAAGGCGACUCUCUGGUCCGUAACUGACGCUGAGGAGCGAAAGCGUGGGGAGCGAACAGGAUUAGAGACCCGCGUAGUCCCUGUCUCUUAUAC
rnacentral:rRNA from 1 species